UACGUAGGGUGCAAGCGUUGUCCGGAAUUAUUGGGCGUAAAGAGCUCGUAGGCGGUUUGUUGCGUCGGCUGUGAAAUCCCGAGGCUCAACCUCGGGUCUGCAGUCGAUACGAGCAAACUAGAGUUCGGCAGGGGAGACUGGAAUUCCUGGUGUAGCGGUGAAAUGCGCAGAUAUCAGGAGGAACACCGGUGGCGAAGGCGGGUCUCUGGGCCGAUACUGACGCUGAGGAGCGAAAGCAUGGGUAGCGAACAGG
rnacentral:rRNA from 1 species